ACCGAGUGGCGGACGGGUGAGUAACGCGUGGGUAACCUGCCUCAUACAGGGGGAUAACAGUUGGAAACGGCUGCUAAUACCGCAUAAGCGCACAGUACCGCAUGGUACGGUGUGAAAAACUCCGGUGGUAUGAGAUGGACCCGCGUCUGAUUAGGUAGUUGGUGGGGUAACGGCCUACCAAGCCGACGAUCAGUAGCCGACCUGAGAGGGUGACCGGCCACAUUGGGACUGAGACACGGCCCAA
rnacentral:rRNA from 1 species